AGAGUAUGGUGUCAUCUCUCUCUCUCUCUCUCUCCAUCGCCAACGACAGAGUGAAACUCCACUUUCCUAGCUUUUCCCUUCUCUUCCCUUCACUUUCCUUCCUCCGUUCCUUCUUCUACCUCGCUGCUGCUGCUCUCUCUCCUCCUCUGGUGGGUUCUCUGAGUUCUUUCUCGCUCCUCAGCGAGCUCGCUUUGCGUUGAGGGGGCGCGGCGGAGCUGCUACUAUGCUGCCCUGUGAUGCCCGCCGAGCUCCGGCAGCUCUCACUCCGUCAUCCCACUUCUUGCUUCUGCUGCUGCUCGGCUCACUCCUCUUGAUGAUCGCACCUUCCUCCGCCUGCUCCAAUGGAGGCUGCCAGGUGCUAGAAGCGUGUGUUGCUGCUACGGAUUGUGGGCCCGGCCUCUACUGUGGGAAUUGCCCUGCUCUGGGCAAGAAUCAGCCUAUCUGCACUAGAGGGCAAGCUAUCGCGCCCACUUCCACUAUUGGUGGGCUGCCCUACAAUAAGUACUCGUGGCUGGUGACUCACAAUUCUUUCUCCAUUGUCGAUGCUCCGGCUUUGCCAGGUGUGCAGAGGAUGACAUUUUACAAUCAAGAGGACACUGUGACUAAUCAGUUGAGAAAUGGAGUGAGGGGACUGAUGUUGGACAUGUAUGACUUUGAGGGGGAUAUCUGGCUCUGCCAUUCAUUUCGGGGGCAAUGCUUCAACUUCACUGCCUUUCAACCUGCAAUCAGCACUUUGAGGGAGGUAGAAGCAUUCUUGACUGAGAACCCAACAGAGAUUGUCACAAUAAUUAUUGAAGACUAUGUUCAUACACCAAAUGGAAUAAUCAAUCUGUUCACUAAUGCUGGGUUGGAUAAGUACUGGUUUCCCGUUUCAAAGAUGCCACAGAAAGGCGAAGACUGGCCAACGGUGACUGAGAUGGUCCAAGAUAAUCACCGAAUUUUGGUAUUCACUUCAGUUGCUUCAAAAGAAGCAGAGGAAGGAGUUGCCUAUCAAUGGAAGUACAUGGUGGAAAAUGAAUCUGGGGAUCCCGGGGUGGUCCAAGGCUCGUGCCCGAACAGAAAAGAAUCAAAACCAUUGAAUUCGAAAGCCGCCUCUCUUUUCUUUAUGAAUUACUUUCCUACUUAUCCAGUUCAGUCUGAUGCUUGCAAAGAGCACUCAACUCCUCUUGCCCAGAUGGUGGGCACCUGUUAUAAAGCUGCUGGAAAUGUCAUACCCAACUUCAUCGCAGUUAACUUUUACAUGAGAAGCGAUGGAGGUGGCGUCUUCGAAGCCCUAGAUAGAAUCAACGGCCAGAGAUUGUGUGGCUGUACUACUAUCGCUGCGUGUCAGGCUGGAGCACCUUAUGGUUCAUGCAAGAACAUCAGUUUACCUACGAGAAGUCCCGUCACGAACAGCGGCGGAAGUUUCACGGGAUCUGUCCAGUUUUCUAACUCUGCUUUCACAGUUUGUCCUCGAGACCACUUUUUUGUUUUAAUCUUCUUUUUGUCGAUGUUGGCAUUUUCCCUCUAAACAUUAGCACAUGCUUACUCCAUUACUAGCUUAGGAUAGAAGGCUCUCACUUCGUUCCCUGCUGUAAUGGCUCGGAAUUUUGUGAAGCCCUACCACAGUUAGAGCAUUUGAUUAGAAAGAAGAAAGACUGCUCGAUAUUCUGUUCCGCGGAUAAAGAUGCGGACUGUCUGAGUAAGCUCAUGUAUAAAAAACGAGCAAUGAAGGACCAGGAACUCAAUAGGGAAUUUUUCAGGUCUUACGGUGGGUUUGCUGGUUAGAAGAGUAGAUAGCUCGAGAAUGCCAUGAACUAUGAGGUUCUUCAGUUAUGAGUUACAUAGGAUGUUUAUAUCAUAAUUAAAAUUCGGUAUUUUCUCUGUAGGAAUUGAGAUUAGUAUCCACCCACGAAGAAAGUAAAAACUGUAUCAUUAUAUUGAUGGUCCUUUCUAUCAAAAGUAAUGCUCCACGUUCUCGGGUUUC